rnacentral:rRNA from 1 species
UGGAAACGACUGCUAAGACUGGAUAGGAGACAAGAAGGCAUCUUCUUGUUUUUAAAAGACCUAGCAAUAGGUAUGCUUAGGUAGGAGCUUGCGUCACAUUAGUUAGUUGGUGGGGUAAAGGCCUACCAAGACUAUGAUGUGUAGCCGGGCUGAGAGGUUGAACGGCCACAUUGGGACUGAGACACGGCCCAAACUCCUACGGGAGGCAGCAGUAGGGAAUUUUCGGCAAUGGAGGAAACUCUGACCGAGCAACGCCGCGUGAACGAUGAAGUAUUUCGGUACGUAAAGUUCUUUUAUUAGGGAAGAAUAAAUGAUGGAAAAAUCAUUCUGACGGUACCUAAUGAAUAAGCCCCGGCUAACUAUGUGCCAGCAGCCGCGGUAAUACAUAGGGGGCAAGCGUUAUCCGGAAUUAUUGGGCGUAAAGGGUGCGUAGGCGGUUAAAUAAGUUUAUGGUCUAAGUGCAAUGCUCAACAUUGUGAUGCUAUAAAAACUGUUUAGCUAGAGUAAGAUAGAGGCAAGUGGAAUUCCAUGUGUAGUGGUAAAAUGCGUAAAUAUAUGGAGGAACACCAGUAGCGAAGGCGGCUUGCUGGGUCUUUACUGACGCUGAGGCACGAAAGCGUGGGGAGCAAACAGGAUUAGAUACCCUGGUAGUCCACGCCGUAAACGAUGAGUACUAAACGUUGGGUAAAACCAGUGUUGAAGUUAACACAUUAAGUACUCCGCCUGAGUAGUACGUACGCAAGUAUGAAACUUAAAGGAAUUGACGGGACUCCGCACAAGCGGUGGAUCAUGUUGUUUAAUUCGAAAGGUACCCGAAAAACCUCACCAGGUCUUGACAUGCUUCUGCAAAGCUGUAGAAACACAGUGGAGGUUAUCAGUUGCACAGGUGGUGCAUGGUUGUCGUCAGCUCGUGUCGUGAGAUGUUGGGUUAAGUCCCGCAACGAGCGCAACCCUUAUUGUUAGUUACCAGCACGUAAUGGUGGGGACUUUAGCAAGACUGCCAGUGAUAAAUUGGAGGAAGGUGGGGACGACGUCAAAUCAUCAUGCCCCUUAUGACCUGGGCUACAAACGUGAUACAAUGGCUGUUACAAAGGGUAGCUGAAGCGCAAGUUUUUGGCGAAUCUCAAAAAAACAGUCUCAGUUCGGAUUGAAGUCUGCAACUCGACUUCAUGAAGUUGGAAUCGCUAGUAAUCGCGAAUCAGCAUGUCGCGGUGAAUACGUUCUCGGGGUUUGUACACACCGCCCGUCAAAC